UCUAGUGAGUACUGCCCACUGCUGCUGAAGGCCCCAGCUCAGGAUGUGUCACCGGCCACCAGGUGGUGCUCAGGUUGCUGAGGCUGGCUGGUCUCUGUCAGCCUCCAGAGUCUGCAGACCUCACCCUGGGUGGGGGCCUGGGGGCAGGACCAAGGCUCGGUCACAGCGCAAGAGCCUCAGGGGACUUGGGCACAUCUGCUCCAACCUCCUCUGCAGACUGAGGCAGGAACUGCAUCCCCCAAGAGGGGAAGAGAGUUCAAGGUCACUCCAAGGAAAAUGGAAACCUGGCUGUAAAAGACUGCUGCAGCAAUCAUGGCGUGAGGUCUCCUCCCAGAGAGCCUACCUCAGGGAGCCACAGCAUACAUCCAGCAGGGGAGGCAGCUGAACAGAUAGUCCCGGUCGCUCCAGACUUAGGAGACUCUGUGGCCUAGCUCCUAACCAUUCUUAUGAGAGUCACAUCUUGAGGCUCCAAGAGUCAACUGAGGACUCCUGCUCUGCUUUGACUGGGAGGCAGCGUGACAAUGAUUCUAACCAGCAUCCUGCAGCCACACCACUUGGGUUCCGAAUUCCAGUGCCACCAUUAACUGUGGGACUUUGGGUAAGGUACAUAGCUUCCUUGAGCUUUAUUUCCUUCAUCUGGAAAAUGGGGAUGAUCAUGUACUCAUCAACAACCUGUAGGGUCGCUGUGGGAAGGAAGGGAAUUAAAUAUGCUGUGCUUGGCACAUCUUUAAGUAUCAUAAAACUGUUAGUAAUUAUUGUUGCUUUUGCUAUUGUUAUUGUUUUUGGGGGGAUUGAACUCAGGGCCUUGCACAUAACUAGGCAAGCACCCUAACCACUGAGGUACAAG